rnacentral:sRNA from 1 species
UCGAGUGGUUUGACAUGAUCAGGUCCGCUUCUUCCAAUUAGCUCGCCAAGAGCUUCAAAUCACCUGAAAACAACACAAAUAUGCA